rnacentral:rRNA from 1 species
GAUGAACGCUGGCGGCGUGCCUAAUACAUGCAAGUCGAGCGAACGGACGAGGAUCUUGCGUGUCUGAUGUUAGCGGCGGACGGGAGAGUAACACGUGUAUAACCUACCUAUAAGACGGGGAUAAUUACGGGAAACCGGCUCUUAUACCGUAUGAUAUUUUGAACCGCAUGGUUCGAAAGUGAAAUACGGUCUUGCUGUCACUUAUAGCUGGAUCCGCGCUGCAUUAGCUAGUUGGUAAGGUAACGGCUUACCAAGGCAACGAUGCAUAGACGACCUGAGAGAGUGAUCGGCCACACUGGAGCUGAGACACGGUCCAGACUCCUACGGGACGCAGCAGUAGGGAAUCUUACGCAAUGGGCGAAAGCCUGACGGAGCAACGCGGAGUGAGUGAUGACGGUCCUCGGAGCGGAAAAAUCUGUUAUUAGGGAAGAACAGAUGUGUAAGUAACCGUGCAGAUAGUGACGGUACCGAAUAAGAAAGCCCCGGCUAACUACGUG